AAAAAUCAAAACAGGAAAAAAUCAGGAAUUUUUGGGCUUAUUUUCAUUCUCGUUCCCCACUUUUCUCAGCAUCCAAACAGGAAAAUAUAAACGAAAAAAAAAAACUAACAGGUGAUAAAAAAAAGCUCAGAUCUCAUUCUAUUUUCAUUCUCGUUUCCUACUUUUCUCAGCAUCCAAACAGGAAAAUAUAAACGGGAAAAAAAGAA
rnacentral:lncRNA from 1 species